AGCUGGAUAACUUCUCCAUCGCCCUCCUAAACAGUACCCACAGCAGGCCUGUGUUAGCUGACAGCUGGUACUCCGUGUCCUAUCUCUACUUCAGUCCUAUCGGCACGCUCACGGCAUUGGCUGUCGCCAUCAUUACCAGCCUGCUAACAGGAAACAGGAAGUUCAAGCCUUCAGCAGGAUUAACCCUAUGCAAGGAAGACCUCACCCUCUACUGUCUCCUGAGUCUCCUGAGAGAGAAGGUACCGGUCAUGACAAACAAACACCUCAGAUGUCAGGGCAUCUCUUAGUGUCUCCCCCAUAAGGCUGCAAACACACCA
rnacentral:lncRNA from 1 species